UUGUCACUGAUUUGAAAUUUCCAGAUGCAUGGAAAAUUAGUUAUAUUGUCCCUAUACCUAAUCAAGUUGAUAAUUAUCGUGGGGUGUGUAAUCAAAUGACGUUACCGAGUUAGUCUCGUCCUUGAUUCGAAGCAUCUGGCAACACUGGCUGAGCCAUCCACUGAUAAACCAAAGUGCAGGAAUCGGAAGUCAGUAUUUGCCUAGUUUUGUAGUCGAAGUCGAAGUGAGAACGCGGUAUGGUCAGGAAGUGUGAAUUCCUGGUUAUUAAAUUCAGUGCCAAUUCUUGGCCCCUCUAUGAACAUUUCCCCUUCAGCGGUGUUUGCACCUUUAUAAAUGGAAGAAAUAGAGAGAUUUAACAAAAGAUCCGGAACGACCGAUAAGGGUAAAGAAUACGAGGAUGUGGUUCUCGCCAUUGUUGUACUAAAUUUAGUAAAUGACGACACAUUAAAAAAAUUCCAUAUAUCAGCAAGCGACGAGGACUUCGGCGCAUUCGACGAUAUAGUUAUGAAACUUGAAUUGAAUGCCCCAAAAACUAAAGUUCGAACACGCCGAGACGAAAAUACCGUCCACAAGAAAUUUUGGUUCAAAAAUGGAGAUUUCAACCUUAACAAAUAUCUCCUGAAUUUUCGACAAAUAAAGGAAGACGCUGAUGAAUAUGUCCUAUUUACAAAUCGACCAUUUAAGUGUAAGGACAAUUUCUAGUUAAAUAAAAAGUGGACCAAGUGGGUGCAACUUUUGGGUCAUGAAAAGAUGAAAAUCUUUCGAAAAGCUUUUUCUCUGUUCGAGAUCGCUCUAUUUGAAAGAAAAUCGUGCGAAAUGAUUAAAGCUCUAUGGGGUGAGGAAGAGGCAACAUUAGACAUGAUAAUGAUAAUAAUAAUAUAAGCAACAUAGAUCCAAAGGCAUUUAUGCAACAGCUAUGGAUAAUGGAUAGAUGCCCAUUAAUAAUACCUGAAUGUGAAAACGUGGAAAAGGCCAUCCAGCUUUGUCGCGACAAAAGUUCAUUUUAGUUGGGGAAGGUAAAAAUGAGGAAAUCUAAGGAAAGAACGAUUGAUCUUGUGACAGCUCUGAAUCUUAUAUUGAACGGUACCUUUCGCGAAAUGUAAAUAUCACAUAUUAGAAGAAGCUUACGAAAACACAAUUGUUGUAAAUAGUGCUGACAACUUUGAUAAAAUAAAAGACACACUCGACAAAUGUAAAUUAAUUGACAUUGACAACUUUUUGCAGAAAAAAUCAAACCUUAAUGCUAAUUAUGUAGGUAACAAAAAAAAUCUGUUCAUGAAAAAAAAACAAUUUCAUUAUUUUCACCUUUUGAGUGGUGGAAAUUUAGAGUGGAUCAAUAGUAGAGGUGAUGUUAGUGAUCUAGAAGGUUAUCAAUUAACUAAUAAAUAUUCUAGGGACGAAAACUCACUGUAGACAAUAACAUCGAUCUAAUAACAGGCGGUCCGGGAAUCGGUAAGUCUGAGUUAAUGAAGAAUUUCAAAAAUAAAUGUCCACCGAAAUAUUGGACACCAAAUAACGCAGACUUGCCGGUCGUUCAUAAAACUAGAUCGAUUGUGUUUCGAAAUGUGUUUAAAAAAAACACCGUUGUUUGCGUGUUGGACGCACUUGACGAAAUGUUAAAAGAAAAUUUAGACGUCGUUUUGAGUAUGAUUCUCCAUUUCUCAGCAAAAGGUUUCUUUUAGUGGGUUACUUGUAAACGAUAACUGAAAACUCGUGUUCAGUUUGCUUUCAUUAAACAUAAAUGAACUAAACGAACACGAACAAAAAGAUUACAUUAGAAAAUGUUUACAUACCUAUAAUUCGGACAAAAUUGACUGUAGAACAUGGAGACAUACUGCGACGUCUGGGUCAAAUAUUCAGGUUUCGUCAAAAUAACUAAAAAAUAUGCUUAUUUUAUUGAAGAAAAAUUUAAUCGUUUUUACAGAGACAAAAUCGGAUUUGAUUUUGAAAAUCUGUAAGUCUACUAUAUGGUCCGUUGAAAAACCAAAAAGUUUUAUAUAAGAACGAAAACAUCUCUAAAUCGCAGUGUUAAAACUGUAAUAAGUAGUGUUUGCUUAAGUAAAGUCAGAUGAGAAUGAAUCCGAAAUUUUCUACAUCACUACAUCACAUUUACUCUGUAUUCGGCUUUUUAACUUGUAAUUUAAUAUAAAAAACAGAACUGUGCUAUUAAAUAAAAGCUAUUAUUAAUAAUGCAUGGUAUCGUUCAGUAUUAUCUAAAGAUUUGCUGAAUCAAUUUAUAACAAAACUAAGAAAAAGAAAAAAAUCUACAUAGGUAAAAGUAACAGCGAUUUAUUUUUGAAACACUUGGUAUGGAUUAGGCAUUACCUCGAUACAUUAUCUACCAAAAGAAUUGAAUGGUUUGCGAACUGAUGUCACUCAUGGGAAUAUCUAGACAACAAAUUUAUGUUUAUUCCCUAAAGAUUAACAGCGAGUUUAUCUUCGUGAAGCAUGAAGUUUAGGAUUUUUGUAGAAAUUGUCACAGGAAUCGAAGGAAAACCAAGGAACAAAGUGCUGCCUCAGACCAUUCCAGUACCAAAUGAAAUAUGUUGUUAGGAGGGUUCCUUGAACAUGUAAAAUACAUAAAUUUUUUUUAACUUGUGACUUAUUCAUACUUAUUAAAAAAUUAAAAAUGUUAAAACUGUAA